rnacentral:lncRNA from 1 species
CUUAUGCAGGUGGUCCCACAAUAUAAACAUGGAAGAGGAGAUAAGGAUACUGAAGGUCACCCUGAUGUUCCUCUCACUUAGACACCUGCAAAAUGAGCAACUAUUUUUAUUUUUUUCCCUUAAGUUUAGUUUGUUCUUCAAAUUUUCGUUUUUUUUUUUCUGUUUAAUCUAUGGUGUGGAUAGAAGGCGGUGUUUGUUACUUUUCUUUCAUUCUUCCUUUUUUUUCUUUUCAAGGGAGUAGUUAAAAUUAUUUAAGAUUAGCUAGGAAUAUUUGAUCAAUUAGUACUUUUGAAGUAACAGAAUAACCUAUUAAAUGUGGGUCAAGGGUCAACUUUUAUCUUCGUUGCAGAUAUUUUGUCUGAACUUAAUAAUGCAAGUGAUUAUUAAAUGUUGGAGAGGAAUCUUUUUAUUAUAAUAACGACGUCAAUCUAUUUGACCAAUAAUUAUGAUGUGAGUGCGCAUGAUACAGUAGGGCUGCGGUGCAAAUAGAUAUUUUUAGGGUCAAAAGAGCAUUUAGAUGCAAUGCCAUAGCUUUACUAAGCUUGCUUUUGAACUUGGAAUUUUUACCUUCAUAAUUUUAUUACACAAAAUAAGCAACUAUUUUUAUUUUUUUCCCUUAAGUUUAGUUUGUUCUUCAAAUUUUCGUUUUUUUUUUUCUGUUUAAUCUAUGGUGUGGAUAGAAGGCGGUGUUUGUUACUUUUCUUUCAUUCUUCCUUUUUUUUCUUUUCAAGGGAGUAGUUAAAAUUAUUUAAGAUUAGCUAGGAAUAUUUGAUCAAUUAGUACUUUUGAAGUAACAGAAUAACCUAUUAAAUGUGGGUCAAGGGUCAACUUUUAUCUUCGUUGCAGAUAUUUUGUCUGAACUUAAUAAUGCAAGUGAUUAUUAAAUGUUGGAGAGGAAUCUUUUUAUUAUAAUAACGACGUCAAUCUAUUUGACCAAUAAUUAUGAUGUGAGUGCGCAUGAUACAGUAGGGCUGCGGUGCAAAUAGAUAUUUUUAGGGUCAAAAGAGCAUUUAGAUGCAAUGCCAUAGCUUUACUAAGCUUGCUUUUGAACUUGGAAUUUUUACCUUCAUAAUUUUAUUACACUUUUUAAUCAAAGUUUUAACUUAAUUAUAUGAUCAUGUACAAUUUAUUAGUUAUAUACAAAUAAAUUUUAAAUAAGUAUUUUUUUAUAUUAGUUUAUUAGUUUUAUACAAAUAAAUUUUAAAUAAGUAUUUUUUUAUAUUAGUUUAUUAGUUAUAUACAAAUAAAUUUUAAAUAAGUAUUUUUUUAUAUUAGGAAUUACAUAAGGAAUAUAAGUUAUUUUCCAUUCCUACCUGCCCCCUCCUUCGUCUCUCUCCCUUGGUCUCUCUAUCUCUCCUUCACUGUUUUGUUCAAUUUUUCUUACUUUAAUGUUCUCUAUUUUCUAUGCUUUCUUGUUGUAGAAUUUUAAUAGAAUUCAUCAAUUGAUUUCAAUCGUUUUAAUAAAGAGUUUUUAUUUAACAAUUUUCUUACUUGUUGCACAAUUGAUGUUCGAAUUAAAAUUGUCAAUCAAUAAAUUUUGAAGGUUUCUGAUUCUAUAACAUUGAUAUUCAUUAAAAAGUUUCGAAAUUUUGAAUUUGAAUUAGGAAUUUCAAAAACUAUUAUUUGUUUGUUUAGGUGUUGUUGGACACAAUUGAGAAUAUCUUUUGAAAUUUAUAUCUCAAUUUUAAGGGUGCUUGGUGAAGAUUAGACUUGAUUUUUACCGGAUUUCAGAUUGAAAAUCGAAGUCGAAGAAGAAGAAGAAGGAGAAGAAGAAGAAGAAGAAGAAGAAGAAGAACACAUGACAUAUAACAUUAUUACGAAAUUGUAUUAAAGUUUUAUUAUAGUUAUACGUAAAUUGUAUUUAAGCUGUAUUAUGUGCGGUUAUAUUUUUUUUUAUUUGAAUAUUGCAUAAAAAAUGAAACAACAACAACCUAGUGAAAUUCCACUAGUGGGGCCUGGGGAGGAUAGUGUGUACGCAGACCUUACCCCUACUAGGCUGUUUUCGAAAGAUCCUCGGGUGUAUAAAAAUUUAAAUAGUUGUAUAAUAUAUGAAUUGUUGCAAGAAAUUUAUAUUUGAUUUAUAAUA